rnacentral:rRNA from 1 species
AUACGUAGGGAGCGAGCGUUGUCCGGAAUUACUGGGUGUAAAGGGUGCGUAGGCGGGGAUGCAAGUCAGAUGUGAAAUGUAUGGGCUCAACCCAUGAACUGCAUUUGAAACUGCAACUCUUGAGUGAGGUAGAGGUAAGCGGAAUUCCUAGUGUAGCGGUGAAAUGCGUAGAUAUUAGGAGGAACAUCGGUGGCGAAGGCGGCUUACUGGGCCUUUACUGACGCUGAGGCACGAAAGCGUGGGGAGCAAACAGGAUUAGAUACCCUGGUAGUCCACGCAGUAAACGAUGAUGACUAGGUGUGGGGGGACUGAACCCUUCCGUGCCGCAGUUAACACAAUAAGUCAUCCACCUGGGGAGUACGACCGCAAGGUUGAAACUCAAAUGAAUUGACGGGG